rnacentral:rRNA from 1 species
UAGCCAGACUCCUACGGGAGGCAGCAGUGAGGAAUAUUGGUCAAUGGGCGCGAGCCUGAACCAGCCAAGUCGCGUGAGGGAAGACGGUCCUAUGGAUUGUAAACCUCUUUUGUCGGGGAGCAAAAAGGCCUCGUGAGGCCACAAGUGAGAGUACCCGAAGAAAAAGCAUCGGCUAACUCCGUGCCAGCAGCCGCGGUAAUACGUAGGGGGCGAGCGUUAUCCGGAAUUACUGGGUGUAAAGGGAGCGUAGACGGCGAGGUAAGCCUGAAGUGGAAGCCCGCGGCCCAACCGCGGAACUGCUUUGGGAACUGUUUUGCUGGAGUAUGGGAGGGGUAAGCGGAAUUCCUGGUGUAGCGGUGAAAUGCGUAGAUAUCAGGAGGAACACCGGUGGCGAAGGCGGCUUACUGGACCAUAACUGACGUUGAGGCUCGAAAGCGUGGGGAGCGAACAGGAUUAGAUACCCGGGUAC